rnacentral:rRNA from 1 species
AUUGAACGCUGGCGGCAUGCCUUACACAUGCAAGUCGAACGGUAACGGGCCUUCGGGUGUCGUCGAGUGGCGAACGGGUGCGUAAUACAACGGAACGUGCCCGAUCGUUGGGGAUCACGGGGCGCAAGCUUUGCUAGUACCGCAUACGAUCUACGGUUUUAAGCAGGGGACUGCAAGGCCUUGCGCGGGCGGUGCGGCCGAUGGCAGAUUAGGUCGUUGUUGGGUUAAAAGCUUCCGAGCCGACGAUCUGUAGCUGGUCUGAGAGGAUGAUCAGCCACACUGGGACUGAGACACGGCCCAGACUCCUACGGGAGGCAGCAGUGGGGAAUUUUGGACAAUGGGCGCAAGCCUGAUCCAGCCAUGCCGCGUGCAGGAUGAAGGCCUUCGGGUUGUAAACUGAUUUUGUACGGAACGAAAAGACGUCUUUUAAUACAGGAGGGUCAUGACGGUACCGAAAGAGUAAGCACCGGCUAACUACGUG